UCGGUCCUGGGGAGUACGGCCGCAAGGUUAAAACUCAAAUGAAUUGACGGGGGCCCGCACAAGCGGUGGAGCAUGUGGUUUAAUUCGAUGCAACGCGAAGAACCUUACCUGGUCUUGACAUCCACGGAAGUUUUCAGAGAUGAGAAUGUGCCUUCGGGAACCGUAAGACAGGUGCUGCAUGGCUGUCGUCAGCUCGUGUUGUGAAAUGUUGGGUUAAGUCCCGCAACGAGCGCAACCCUUAUCCUUUGUUGCCAGCGGUCCGGCCGGGAACUCAAAGGAGACUGCCAGUGAUAAACUGGAGGAAGGUGGGGAUGACGUCAAGUCAUCAUGGCGCUUACGACCAGGGCUACACACGUGCUACAAUGGCGCAUACAAAGAGAAGCGACCUCGCGAGAGCAAGCGGACCUCAUGCGAA
rnacentral:rRNA from 1 species